AUUGGCAUUCUCUGAUCGGCCUAAUCUCGUAAUACAUGGCUAUGUCCCUGACCUGAGACUAAUGCAAUCAGUUCCUUCCUCCGCCUUCUCUUUCGACGUUCGCCAAUCGGAGAGGACAGCCGAUUGAGUCUGAACCUUAAUUUAAAGAUGGAAGGAAGACCCGGAUGGACUUAAUUAGGAGCAUGGGCAACCCUUCGCGCACGAGAUAGCAAUGACAGGAGAUUGACCGGUCGGGGUCGAGUGAUCCUCAGGGUUUAGGGCUCCUUCUCCUGCUGCGACUACCUCUCUUCUCUUCUCUUUUAGAAAGGUAAAGGACCACCAGAGAG
rnacentral:lncRNA from 1 species